AUUGAACGCUGGCGGCAUGCUUUACACAUGCAAGUCGAACGCAUCGCAAGAUGAGUGGCAGACGGGUGAGUGACGCGUGGGAACAUACCCUUUUCUACGGAAUAGCUCUGGGAAACUGGAAUUAAUACCGUAUACGCCCUACGGGGGAAAGAUUUAUCGGGGAAGGAUUGGCCCGCGUUUGAUUAGCUAGUUGGUGGGGUAAAGGCCUACCAAGGCGACGAUCCAUAGCUGGUCUGAGAGGAUGAUCAGCCACAUUGGGACUGAGACACGGCCCAAACUCCUACGGGAGGCAGCAGUGGGGAAUAUUGGACAAUGGGCGCAAGCCUGAUCCAGCCAUGCCGCGUGAGUGAUGAAGGCCUUAGGGUUGUAAAGCUCUUUCACCGAUGAAGAUAAUGACGGUAGUCGGAGAAGAAGCCCCGGCUAACUUCGUGCCAGCAGCCGCCGUAACAC
rnacentral:rRNA from 1 species